rnacentral:tRNA from 1 species
GCCCCCGUAGCUCAGGUGGAUAGAGCGGCGGUUUCCUAAACCGCGUCCGUCGCAGGUUCGAGUCCUGCCGGGGGCA